AAAAUAUUUUGUAACAUAGAUACCUUUAAUAACUCACCAAGUUCAAUAUAUCCAUUAUCCAUCAUGUUAUAUAUAUA